CCAGGCGUAGUUGGUACUGUUAGCGAGCCUGCGGGGCGCAGCGCUCCCGCUGCCGCCGCCCCCGGGCAGCCCGCGCCGGGCACUCGCGGCCGAGCGGUGAGCCGUAAUUGGCGUCUGUGGCUUAGGCGAGAGCAGACUAUCCCGUGUUCAGGUCAGCCUUUGUGUGACCAAGUAUCAUGACUGCCACAAAUAGAUGUACAAGAUGGGAAGUCAGGUUUUUUUCCAGUUGACUGACAAUCCAAGGGCUG